AGUGAUCUACAAUCAAAUGUGUUGUGUUCCCAUUUCAGCCUAGCUCCCUCUCGUAUGUCAAUUAGUGAUCUAAGAUCCAAUGUGUUGUGUUCCCAUUUCAGCCUGGCUCCCUCUCAUAUAUCAAUUAGUGAUCUAAGGUCCAAUGUGCUGUGUUCCCAUUUCAGCCUGGCUCCCUCUCAUAUAUCAAUUAGUGAUCUAAGGUCCAAUGUGCUGUGUUCCCAUUUCAGCCUGGC